rnacentral:rRNA from 1 species
UACGUAGGUGACAAGCGUUAUCCGGAAUUACUGGGCGUAAAGCGCACGCAGGCGGCCGAGUAAGUCUGACGUGAAAUCUCCCGGCUUAACCGGGAGCGGUCGUUGGAAACUACUUGGCUUGAGGCGAUGAGAGGGGUGUGGAAUUCCCGGUGUAGUGGUGGAAUGCGUAGAUAUCGGGAGGAACAUCAGUGGCGAAAGCGGCACCCUGGCAUUAGCCUGACGCUGAGGCACGAAAGCGUGGGGAGCGAACAGG